AGAGUUUGAUCCUGGCUCAGGAUGAACGCUAGCUACAGGCUUAACACAUGCAAGUCGAGGGGAAACGACAUCGAAAGCUUGCUUUUGAUGGGCGUCGACCGGCGCACGGGUGAGUAACGCGUAUCCAACCUGCCCACCACUUGGGGAUAACCUUGCGAAAGUAAGACUAAUACCCAAUGAUAUCUCUAGAAGACAUCUGAAGGAGAUUAAAGAUUUAUCGGUGAUGGAUGGGGAUGCGUCUGAUUAGCUUGUUGGCGGGGUAACGGCCCACCAAGGCGACGAUCAGUAGGGGUUCUGAGAGGAAGGUCCCCCACAUUGGAACUGAGACACGGUCCAAACUCCUACGGGAGGCAGCAGUGAGGAAUAUUGGUCAAUGGGCGAGAGCCUGAACCAGCCAAGUAGCGUGCAGGAUGACGGCCCUAUGGGUUGUAAACUGCUUUUAUAAGGGAAUAAAGUGAGUCUCGUGAGACUUUUUGCAUGUACCUUAUGAAUAAGGACCGGCUAAUUCCGUGCCAGCAGCCGCGGUAAUACGGAAGGUCCGGGCGUUAUCCGGAUUUAUUGGGUUUAAAGGGAGCGUAGGCCGGAGAUUAAGCGUGUUGUGAAAUGUAGACGCUCAACGUCUGCACUGCAGCGCGAACUGGUUUCCUUGAGUACGCACAAAGUGGGCGGAAUUCGUGGUGUAGCGGUGAAAUGCUUAGAUAUCACGAAGAACUCCGAUUGCGAAGGCAGCUCACUGGAGCGCAACUGACGCUGAAGCUCGAAAGUGCGGGUAUCGAACAGGAUUAGAUACCCUGGUAGUCCGCACGGUAAACGAUGGAUGCCCGCUGUUGGUCUGAAUAGGUCAGCGGCCAAGCGAAAGCAUUAAGCAUCCCACCUGGGGGAGUACGCCCGGCAACGGUGAAACUCCAAAGGAAUUGACGGGGGGCCCGCACAACCGGAGGAACAAGUGGGUUAAAUUCCAUGAUACCCCAGGGAACCUUUCCCCGGGGUUUGAAUUUCUAAAGAAAGGAUUUUGGAAAAAUUGACGCCCUUCCCGGGCGCUCUUUAAAGGGCGGCCCCGGGUUGUCGUCCCCUCCUGCCCCUGAGGGUGGCGCGUUAAAUGGCCUUAACAAAGGCGAACCCCUCCCUCUUAUUUGGCUCUCACGUUAAAAUUGGGCCCUCUUGGGGGAUUGGCCCCCCAAAAGGUGGAGGAAAGAGGGGGGGGUAGAGGUCAAAAUCACAAACGCGCCUUCACUUCCGGGGGGUCACCACGGGGUUCAAUUGGGGGGGGCCAAGAAAGAGAGUGGGUUGCUGGAAAGCGCGUCUUAUCCUUUAAAGCCUGUCUCAGUUCGGACUGGGGUCUGCAACCCGACCCCACGAAGCUGGAUUCGCUAGUAAUCGCGCAUCAGCCAUGGCGCGGUGAAUACGUUCCCGGGCCUUGCACACACCGCCCGUC
rnacentral:rRNA from 1 species